UGGGGAAUCUUGCGCAAUGGGCGAAAGCCUGACGCAGCGACGCCGCGUGGGGGAUGAAGCCCUUCGGGGUGUAAACCCCUUUCGACCCGGACGAAAAUCCGCAAGGAUCUGACGGUACGGGUAGAAGAAGCCCCGGCUAACUACGUGCCAGCAGCCGCGGUAAGACGUAGGGGGCCAGCGUUGCUCGGAAUUACUGGGCGUAAAGGGUCCGUAGGCGGUGCGGCAAGUCGGAAGUGAAAUCUCUGGGCUUAACCCAGAGGCUGCUUCCGAAACUGCCGUGCUCGAGUGUGGGAGAGGCGAGUGGAAUUGCAGGUGUAGCGGUGAAAUGCGUAGAUAUCUGCAGGAACACCAGAGGCGAAGGCGGCUCGCUGGACCACAACUGACGCUGAGGGACGAAAGCUAGGGGAGCAAACAGG
rnacentral:rRNA from 1 species